UACAGAGGUCCCGAGCGUUGUUCGGAUUUAUUGGGCGUAAAGGGUGCGUAGGCGGCGGAGUAAGUUGGGUGUGAAAUCCCGGGGCUCAACCUCGGAAUGGCAUUCAAUACUGCUUCGCUCGAGUACUGGAGAGGAGGCUGGAAUUUACGGUGUAGCAGUGAAAUGCGUAGAGAUGUGGAGGAACACCGAUGGCGAAGGCAGCCCCCCUGGGCUAACACUGACGCUCAUGCACGAAAGCGUGGGGAGCAAACAGG
rnacentral:rRNA from 1 species